rnacentral:rRNA from 1 species
AUUGAACGCUGGCGGCAGGCCUAACACAUGCAAGUCGAGCGGAUGACGGGAGCUUGCUCCUUGAUUCAGCGGCGGACGGGUGAGUAAUGCCUAGGAAUCUGCCUGGUAGUGGGGGACAACGUUUCGAAAGGAACGCUAAUACCGCAUACGUCCUACGGGAGAAAGCAGGGGACCUUCGGGCCUUGCGCUAUCAGAUGAGCCUAGGUCGGAUUAGCUAGUUGGUGAGGGAAUGGAUCACCAAGGAGACGAUCCGGAACUGGUCUGAGAGGAUGAUCAGUCACACUGGAACUGAGACACGGUCGAGACUCCUACGGGAGGCAGCAGUGGGGAAUAUUGGACAAUGGGCGAAAGCCUGAUCCAGCCAUGCCGCGUGUGUGAAGAAGGUCUUCGGAUUGUAAAGCACUUUAAGUUGGGAGGAAGGGCAGUAAGUUAAUACCUUGCUGUUUUGACGUUACCGACAGAAUAAGCACCGGCUAACUCUGUGCCAGCCGCCGCGGUAAUAC